GCCCCAGUAGCUCAGUAGGAUAGAGCAACUCCCUUCUAAGGAGUAGGUCAGAGGUUCGACUCCUCUCUGGGGCACCA
rnacentral:tRNA from 1 species